rnacentral:rRNA from 1 species
GUAUAGAACCUACCUUAUAUUGGGGGAUAGCCCAGAGAAAUUUGGAUUAAUACCCCAUAGUAUGCUGAAGUGGCAUCCUUUAGUAUUAAAGAUUUAUCGAUAUAAGAUGGCUAUGCGUUCUAUUAGCUAGUUGGUAUGGUAACGGCAUACCAAGGCUACGAUAGAUAGGGGUCCUGAGAGGGAGAUCCCCCACACUGGUACUGAGACACGGACCAGACUCCUACGGGAGGCAGCAGUGAGGAAUAUUGGACAAUGGAGGCAACUCUGAUCCAGCCAUGCCGCGUGCAGGAAGACUGCCCUAUGGGUUGUAAACUGCUUUUAUAGAGGAAGAAACCCCCCGACGAGUCGGGUCUGACGGUACUCUACGAAUAAGGAUCGGCUAACUCCGUGCCAGCAGCCGCGGUAAUACGGAGGAUCCAAGCGUUAUUCGGAAUCAUUGGGUUUAAAGGGUCCGUAGCGGAUUUGUAAGUCAGUGGUGAAAGUUUGCGGCUCAACCGUAAAAUUGCCAUUGAUACUGCAAGUCUUGAAUCAUUGUGAAGUGGUUAGAAUAUGUAGUGUAGCGGUGAAAUGCAUAGAUAUUACAUAGAAUACCGAUUGCGAAGCAGAUCACUAACAAUGUAUUGACGCUAAGGGACGAAAGCGUGGGUAGCGAACAGGAUUAGAUACCCUGGUAGUCCACGCCGUAAACGAUGGUCACUAGCUGUUUGGG